CUUGCCCUUUUCCUUAAUUCAAAUAAUUUUCACAAUUGGUAGUGCUGAAGGACAGUAAAGAGAAACAGAAGAGAUUAUCCCCCUAAUAAAAAAAGAAAGAAAAAGUCCAUUCAGAAAGCCAGGAAACAAAAUCAACAAGGAGAGCUUUGAGCUUUUCUGUUUUGGUCAGAAAACUGUUGAUUCCUUUUGCACCAAGUGCUGGGCCUGAUUCUUCUCCAGCAGAGUGCAGCCAAGAAUUACAAAGCGAGUCAACAGACCGAGUUCAUCUGAAAAGUAGCCAGAAAAAACCUCGGGCUAUGUUCAAGGUGUCCAUUUUUAGAAGGAAAUUUGCUUAGGCAGAGGAAUACCAGCAUAUUCAGGGACUGUCACCCAAGACAUGAUUUUAAAAGCAUAUGAAGGCCCACAAGAAAAACGCUGGAGUGUGUGACCACUCCAUCCAGUCAGAGCUGACCAAGAUAUUUUCAAUCAUUCACAGAAAUUAUUUAGAAAGUAAUUCCAAACAACAUGGGAGGACUUAUCACCUAAUGGCAGAUGACUAGUCAACAGAGAAAGAGACCAAGCUCUUGAGCAAAGCAGUUCUCUGCAGAUGGCUGGGCUCAGUAAGAGGAUAAAAAAUGAACCUGACCAUUAACAGAAAGUGAAGCUGACUAGCUGAGUUUUACUGGUCCCGCUGAAGGCAGUACAAAGAAACAACCAGCACUAGGUGAGAAAAGGUCAAAAAGCAGACUGUGUGACAAGAGAGAAAUUGGAGAAGACUGAGAUAAUGCUCAAUUAGAUCAUGCAGUUCACCUCCCUGGGGCCCAUGACAGACUGGGUCGUGCAGUUCCAGCAAAGGUGGAACUCCUCCCUGGAUCCAGGCAUACAACAUUGAUAAAAGACUUCAGGCCUAAUCAUGACAUUCUGAGGUAAGCAAGGCCUCCAGGAUUUGGCUUAGUGUAGGAAACUCUUUAAAAGAUGCAGUUAUUUGUAAAAUGUCAUCAUUAAAGCCAGCCUCCUGAUCUGCUGCCACUGGAUACAUGCUCCUUCACCUAAAAGGUUUCCUGCCCCUCUUAUAUCCUAGCUUCUUCAGUGAAACAGCCAACAAUAUAAAAAUCAAACCCAACAAUAAAACACCCUCAAGCCCAAGCAUAGUAAUUCAAUUUAAUACUAAUGACUUUACCAGCACUCCUUUAAUGGCUAUGGAUUUUGUCUAUCUAUUGGAAAAUGUCUCAGAGGUGAAGAGCCCAUAGUCUGUCUUCCAGAGGAGAAGGUGUCAUUGGUCAUAUUUGUUCUGAAGACAUGAUAUAAUGUAGGACUGGAAGGUCUCCUGGGCUUUCCUAAUGCAAUCUAGUUUGCGGUGCAGUUUGUGUUGUGAUAGGGAAAGUGGGUACAGCCAUGCAUUCUGGAGCCUGUGAAUUGCUGAGAAGCAGAGUGCUAAUGCCUUGCUUUCCCCUUUGGGUCAGCAUUGGUCCAGUGUUUUUAGUUGCUGCAAGUGCUUCUCUAACCUUGGCAUAAUCAGCAUGGUGAUUUUGUGUGUCUAGGUCUCUCCACUGCUCACAGUUAGACGUUAUGCCCCAGGUGCCAGAUGGAUGCAUGGGAAGAAAUCCAUGGAUUUCAGCUGUUGACUGCUGAAACCAAUAUACUUAAUUUCUCAUAGACCUCCCAGGGAACCAUACAGUAACCUGCUAAUGGGGUUCUUGUAUCCCACAUUAGAGAUUGGCUACAUUAGAAAGGCAGGUGAAAAUACAGGUGUUUACACAGGCAGUGUGAAAGAUAUCCCUGUUAUACUCUUGGAGGAUGACAGGUUCUGAUGGAGAUGUGGUAUGAAAACCAAGUGAAUGUCACAUGCACAAGGGGUGGCAUCCCCGUGAGUGGUAGGCAGUGAUUCAGAUGAACCACACUUUGCCCUAGGUUCACUAGGAAGGAAAGCUCCAGCUGCCCUUUAGCCACAUUCCUGGUGGGUCAAAAAUGCCACAGGAGCAGUCAAUGGAAAAGCCAAGUGCCAGAGCUAGAGCAUUGAUUCAGACAACCUGAAUCAAAGGAGGGACAGCAUGGUUCAAAAUAAACCUUCUAUGUUUCAUAUUACUGGACAAUAAUAUUAUGCAAAAGGAAUGAAGAAGCUAAGAGGAUUAGAUGCUAAUACACUGGUAGGAAAUAUAAGCAGCUGCUCUCAUGGAAUAUAUUUAUGGCCCUCACAUUGCAACUACUGCCAGAGUGAGGACCUGCCAGGAUAGCUGGGGAGUUUGUAAAUUUGUCCUGUGUGUGAGUAUCCAGUACACAGCAGAUACGCACUUUAAGGCUUACAAUGGGGUUGAAUUACUAGAAAGAGGUGUUUCUACAAAUGCUUCAGAGACCAAAGACUUUCCAAAUGGAGUAUCUCUAUUUUUGAAAUCUGGUUUCUGCCACUCCCUUUCCUGCUAGAGUGAAGACAAACUUCCAUGUGAUCGACCCCAGACUCCAGGAAAUAGCUGUAAGGCUCCAGUCAAAGUAACAUCCAUCAUUUAGUCCUUUCAGAGAGAAACUCAUAUGGGGCAUGUCUGCCCUGCAGAAGAGCUGAGCCAGAGGUCCAAAAGGAGAAAAAUGCACUCAGUGCCAGCUUUCUAUGUCUAGGCACAUUCCUCCAGGGCUAUGUAUGAACGAAUAAGCCAUGCCUUUUGCAUCCAGCCAACUCUGACCUCUCCUGUGUACCGCCAUGCUUCAGAGCUCAGCUCUGACUGUACCUGCCAGCACAGGCACACCCAGUGAGAGACAGUGCCUGCUGUCAAUUGUUGAUGCUGAGUGGAGGGACUUGGCCAAGGACACAGAGGAAAGAAGAGUGAGGGCUUGAACCUGGAUCCCAACCAAGUACACUUUCUGCUUGUGACUGAAUGUUUGAACAAGAGCAACAAAAGGUUAUUUUUUCGCAGGGAAAGCUCUGUCACUGCAGACCUGCCCUGGCCUUCCUGUUGGAAGGAGAUGUUUUGCCAGGGAGCUAGCCUGACUCCUUCAGUUCAGCAUGUGGAAGGGAAGAAAAGUCCCUCUCGGUCUGAGUUGGUGUUCCAUGGCAGAUGCAGUUGCAGUGAUACUGGCUGAUUCUUUCCUCAGAGACUUUUCAGACCCACAUCUAGAGGAGGAGUUCCCAGAACAGGGCUUCCAUCUGUUUAGCUGGUGGUAACAACUUGGCCUCUGCUAUUAGCCAGGCUUUGGGAGAGGAGUUACAUACUUCCCUGUGGAUUACUUACAUUCUGUAUGUUUUGAUCUGCAAUUGCUCCUACACCAGCUGCCAUUCCUACACCAAAAAUUUGUAUUUUGUCUAUUUUCUUCGUUUUUUAUGCUUAAAUCCUAAGGAUAUCUCUGGGAUAUGCAAGGCAGACUAAAAAUCACCUGCAAAGAAGAUCUUCCCAAAUUACAUCAGAGUGAUGAAGAUCAAGAUCUUUAAGUCAUACGAGGUUAAUUUACAGUUUACAAGUUACUUAAUGUGGCUUAAGGAAACCCACAGAAUCCUCAAGCUUCAUCCUUGAUAAUUUUCGUAUUGAGUCCAGUAUGUCCAUCACUAAGUAUCACCUGGCUGCUUGUCGCCUUUCCCACACAUCACUGUGGAAAUACAACAGGAAAUCGCAAAGGUGUCUGCCACACAGACUUUACCACUAGUGAGCUCCUCAAAUGUUUUCUUUCUAGGUGCACAAGGCAGUGCUGUGAUGGUGACAGGAGAGGCAUGGGUCUUGCAAUGUGGGAAAGCUGGGAUGCUGAAAAGGAUGGGGU